GAUGAACGCUGGCGGCGUGCCUAAUACAUGCAAGUCGAGCGAACAGAUGAGGAGCUUGCUCCUCUGACGUUAGCGGCGGACGGGUGAGUAACACGUGGAUAACCUACCUAUAAGACUGGGAUAACUUCGGGAAACCGGAGCUAAUACCGGAUAAUAUAUUGAACCGCAUGGUUCAAUAGUGAAAGACGGUUUUGCUGUCACUUAUAGAUGGAUCCGCGCCGCAUUAGCUAGUUGGUAAGGUAACGGCUUACCAAGGCAACGAUGCGUAGCCGACCUGAGAGGGUGAUCGGCCACACUGGAACUGAGACACGGUCCAGACUCCUACGGGAGGCAGCAGUAGGGAAUCUUCCGCAAUGGGCGAAAGCCGGACGGAGCAACGCCGCGUGAGUGAUGAAGGUCUUCGGAUCGUAAAACUCUGUUAUUAGGGAAGAACAAAUGUGUAAGUAACUAUGCACGUCUUUACGGGACCUAAUCAGAAAGCCACGGCUAACUACGUGC
rnacentral:rRNA from 1 species